AGUCGAGCGGUAGCACAGAGAAACUUGUUUCUUGGGUGACGAGCGGCCCACGGGUGAGUAACGCGUAGGAAUCUACCUAGUAGAGGGGGACAACAUGUGGAAACGCAUGCUAAUACCGCAUACGCCCUUAGGGGGAAAGGAGGGGACUUUUCGGAGCCUUCCGCUAUUAGAUGAGCCUGCGUGAGAUUAGCUAGUUGGUAGGGUAAAGGCCUACCAAGGCGACGAUCUCUAACUGGUCUGAGAGGAUGACCAGUCACACUGGGACUGAGACACGGCCCAGACUCCUACGGGAGGCAGCAGUGGGGAAUAUUGGACAAUGGGCGCAAGCCUGAUCCAGCCAUGCCGCGUGUGUGAAGAAGGCCUUAGGGUUGUAAAGCACUUUCAGGGGUGAGGAAGGGUAACUAGUUAAUACCUAGUUAUCUUGACGUUAGCCCCAGAAGAAGCACCGGCUAACUCUGUGCCAGCAGCCGCGGUAAUACAGAGGGUGCAAGCGUUAAUCGGAAUUACUGGGCGUAAAGCGCGCGUAGGUGGUUUGUUAAGUCGGAUGUGAAAUCCCAGGGCUCAACCUUGGAAUGGCACCCGAUACUGGCAAGCUAGAGUAUGGUAGAGGGGUGUGGAAUUCCCUGUGUAGCGGUGAAACGCGUAGAUAUAGGAAGGGACAUCAGUGGCGAAGGCGACACCCUGGACUGAUACUGACCCUGAGGGGCGAAAGCGUGGGGAGCCAACCGGAUUAAAUACCCUGGUAGUCCACGCCGUAAACGAUGUCCUCUAGCCCGUGGGUUGAAAGGAACUUAUGGCGCAGCUAAC
rnacentral:rRNA from 1 species